GGCCCUAGAAUCCCCUUGGAGCUCAGAGGAAGCCCCACUCAGCCUCCCCAGCCCCCUCCAGGAACACCGAGGGCUAGGAUUUGGGUGGCUGUGCAGAGCCCUGUCAUCUCACCACGGUAAUAUGGCUCUCAGUUCAUGCAGCACUGGAGAGGCAACAAAGGAGAUAACUGGAAUUUCUGCUCAAUGGAGAAAUCAGGACCCAGCAGGAGCCGGAGCGCAUAACCACCGGCAGAGCAGGUGUCCUGCCUCCCCGGCCAGCACCCUAUGCGGAGAGGGGGCGAUCGCAGCCUCUAUCUGGCACUGGAACCCAGGCCCAGAAAGUGAUCCUUGCAUCCCCGAGAGUCCAGGCUGCGUUCUGCACCUCGUCCUCUAAAGGCAUCCCUCCUCAGACCCAGAGUUCCCGGAGGACCCAAAAACCAUCUCUUCCUAUCUCUCUGUCCUCCCAAGACUGAACAGAACAAGGGCAGAGUCAACACGCCCCUUCUGCCGCCCUGACAUUGACUGUGCUCAGGACCGGGCCCCCAAAGGCUCUCGAUGCUUGGUGAUGGAUGCUGCAUGGAUCGGCUGAACAGUGGCAGAAUGUCUUCUCUGGUCCCGGCUCCUACAUUUGACAGGAGAACACCGCCCAGGGAGGCCGAGGCCGUCAUGUGGCUCCGAGCAGGAAGAGGACAUCCUUCUCCAGCUCUGCCUUUGCCUGUCAGAGCUUCCAGCCUCAGGUAACCAUGGUAAUCACCAGUAUUAACCAUGGCAGAGACAGGAGCCUCAGCAGGCCGGCUCUGGCCUGCUCCCACAGCAAACGGUGCGCCGGCUUCCGGCAGCACGUCGGGCCCCCGAUCACCCCUAUGCUGCCGGUGUCUAGGGACUGCGAAGGACGGUCUGUCUACUAAACCCAGGAGUCAGGGCUAGAGGGAGAGAACAAGCCCUCAACCUCUCCCACCGCCACCAGAGCCUGAGUCAGCCAAAGGUCGAGGAUGUGGCCUAAGGAUGCAGCCAUGAUGGUGGUGGCCAAGGACCAGGUCUUUGUGACCUGCACUUCCUGUCCUGUCCCAGCCCUGCCUCCAGAGAUGGCAGCCACCAGCUGUCACCACAGGAGGCCAGUCUGAACUCGUGGGAGAGCUUCGUGGCUGGGAAUUAGGGGCAUGCACAAGUAACCUUUUGCUGCCCUUGACCUGAGGGCCAUGCCAAAAAGGCCACAGCGGAGCCAUUCUUGCGAAACUUGGGAGCUGCCUCUCUGACCCACCCCCACGGUGCUCAUCAGCUCCAGGGGCGCCGCGUUUGCAACAUCAGGAGACCCUGUCCCCAGGUCUCUGACACCAGCUACUACUCAUCCUCCCAGCCCGGCCUGUUUUUUCCUAAACCUGCUCUUCAUCCCUCCCUCCUAUGAAGCACUAAACUUCCCCCCCCCGCCCAGGUGGCAGAGAGCUGAGAAUCUGCGCAGAACACGGGGCCUGUCCCUUGCAGCUCCGAGGGCCAGGGCAAGCUCCCCGCGGGGGACACAGGAGGCCUUUGCCAGGUCCUCGGACACGGGGAGCAA
ensembl:lncRNA